UACGAGUGGUGCAAGCGUUAUUCGGAAUCAUUGGGCGUAAAGGGUGUGUAGACGGCAUGCUAAGUCAACUGUUAAAUUCUCCGGCCUAACCGGAGGCAAGCAGUAGAAACUGAUGUGCUAGAGGGUGGAAGAGAGAAGCGGAAUUCUCGGAGUAGCGGUAAAAUGCGUAGAUCUCGAGAGGAACACCAAUGGCGAAGGCAGCUUCUUGGUCCACAUCUGACGUUGAGACACGAAAGCGUGGGGAGCAAACAGG
rnacentral:rRNA from 1 species